GCCUACGGGAGGCAGCAGUAGGGAAUCUUCCACAAUGGGCGAAAGCCUGAUGGAGCAACGCCGCGUGGGUGAAGAAGGUCUUCGGAUCGUAAAACCCUGUUGUUAGAGAAGAAAGUGCGUGAGAGUAACUGUUCACGUUUCGACGGUAUCUAACCAGAAAGCCACGGCUAACUGCGUGCCAGCAGCCGCGGUAAUACGUAGGUGGCAAGCGUUAUCCGGAUUUAUUGGGCGUAAAGGGAACACAGGCGGUCUUUUAAGUCUGAUGUGAAAGCCUUCGGCUUAACCGGAGUAGUGCAUUGGAAACU
rnacentral:rRNA from 1 species